rnacentral:rRNA from 1 species
GGUUAAGCGACUAAGCGUACACGGUGGAUGCCCUGGCAGUCAGAGGCGAUGAAGGACGUGCUAAUCUGCGAAAAGCGUCGGUAAGGUGAUAUGAACCGUUAUAACCGGCGAUGUCCGAAUGGGGAAACCCAGUGUGAUUCGUCACACUAUCGUUAACUGAAUACAUAGGUUAACGAGGCGAACCGGGGGAACUGAAACAUCUAAGUACCCCGAGGAAAAGAAAUCAACCGAGAUUCCCCCAGUAGCGGCGAGCGAACGGGGAGCAGCCCAGAGUCUGAAUCAGCUUGUGUGUUAGUGGAACGGUCUGGAAAGUCCGACGGUACAGGGUGAUAGUCCCGUACACCAAAAUGCACAGGUUGUGAACUCGAAGAGUAGGGCGGGACACGUGGUAUCCUGUCUGAAUAUGGGGGGACCAUCCUCCAAGGCUAAAUACUCCUGACUGACCGAUAGUGAACCAGUACCGUGAGGGAAAGGCGAAAAGAACCCCGGCGAGGGGAGUGAAAAAGAACCUGAAACCGUGUACGUACAAGCAGUGGGAGCACCUUCGGGUGUGACUGCGUACCUUUUGUAUAAUGGGUCAGCGACUUAUAUUCUGUAGCAAGGUUAACCGUAUAGGGGAGCCGCAGGGAAACCGAGUCUUAACUGGGCGUUAAGUUGCAGGGUAUAGACCCGAAACCCGGUGAUCUAGCCAUGGGCAGGUUGAAGGUUGGGUAACACUAACUGGAGGACCGAACCGACUAAUGUUGAAAAAUUAGCGGAUGACUUGUGGCUGGGGGUGAAAGGCCAAUCAAACCGGGAGAUAGCUGGUUCUCCCCGAAAGCUAUUUAGGUAGCGCCUCGUGAACUCAUCUUCGGGGGUAGAGCACUGUUUCGGCUAGGGGGUCAUCCCGACUUACCAACCCGAUGCAAACUACGAAUACCGAAGAAUGUUAUCACGGGAGACACACGGCGGGUGCUAACGUCCGUCGUGAAGAGGGAAACAACCCAGACCGCCAGCUAAGGUCCCAAAGUCAUGGUUAAGUGGGAAACGAUGUGGGAAGGCACAGACAGCCAGGAUGUUGGCUUAGAAGCAGCCAUCAUUUAAAGAAAGCGUAAUAGCUCACUGGUCGAGUCGGCCUGCGCGGAAGAUGUAACGGGGCUAAACCAUGCACCGAAGCUGCGGCAGCGACACUAUGUGUUGUUGGGUAGGGGAGCGUUCUGUAAGCCUGCGAAGGUGACCUGUGAGGGUUGCUGGAGGUAUCAGAAGUGCGAAUGCUGACAUAAGUAACGAUAAAGCGGGUGAAAAGCCCGCUCGCCGGAAGACCAAGGGUUCCUGUCCAACGUUAAUCGGGGCAGGGUGAGUCGACCCCUAAGGCGAGGCCGAAAGGCGUAGUCGAUGGGAAACAGGUUAAUAUUCCUGUACUUGGUGUUACUGCGAAGGGGGGACGGAGAAGGCUAUGUUAGCCGGGCGACGGUUGUCCCGGUUUAAGCAUGUAGGCUGAUUAUCCAGGCAAAUCCGGAUAAUCAAGGCUGAGGUGUGAUGACGAGGCACUACGGUGCUGAAGUAACAAAUGCCCUGCUUCCAGGAAAAGCCUCUAAGCAUCAGGUAACAUCAAAUCGUACCCCAAACCGACACAGGUGGUCAGGUAGAGAAUACCAAGGCGCUUGAGAGAACUCGGGUGAAGGAACUAGGCAAAAUGGUGCCGUAACUUCGGGAGAAGGCACGCUGGUGUGUAGGUGAAGUCCCUGCGGAUGGAGCUGAGACCAGUCGAAGAUACCAGCUGGCUGCAACUGUUUAUUAAAAACACAGCACUGUGCAAACACGAAAGUGGACGUAUACGGUGUGACGCCUGCCCGGUGCCGGAAGGUUAAUUGAUGGGGUUAUCCGUAAGGAGAAGCUCUUGAUCGAAGCCCCGGUAAACGGCGGCCGUAACUAUAACGGUCCUAAGGUAGCGAAAUUCCUUGUCGGGUAAGUUCCGACCUGCACGAAUGGCGUAAUGAUGGCCAGGCUGUCUCCACCCGAGACUCAGUGAAAUUGAACUCGCUGUGAAGAUGCAGUGUACCCGCGGCAAGACGGAAAGACCCCGUGAACCUUUACUAUAGCUUGACACUGAACAUUGAGCCUUGAUGUGUAGGAUAGGUGGGAGGCUUUGAAGCGUGGACGCCAGUCUGCGUGGAGCCAACCUUGAAAUACCACCCUUUAAUGUUUGAUGUUCUAACGUUGGCCCCUUACCGGGGUUGCGGACAGUGUCUGGUGGGUAGUUUGACUGGGGCGGUCUCCUCCCAAAGCGUAACGGAGGAGCACGAAGGUUAGCUAAUCCUGGUCGGACAUCAGGAGGUUAGUGCAAUGGCAUAAGCUAGCUUGACUGCGAGCGUGACGGCGCGAGCAGGUGCGAAAGCAGGUCAUAGUGAUCCGGUGGUUCUGAAUGGAAGGGCCAUCGCUCAACGGAUAAAAGGUACUCCGGGGAUAACAGGCUGAUACCGCCCAAGAGUUCAUAUCGACGGCGGUGUUUGGCACCUCGAUGUCGGCUCAUCACAUCCUGGGGCUGAAGUAGGUCCCAAGGGUAUGGCUGUUCGCCAUUUAAAGUGGUACGCGAGCUGGGUUUAGAACGUCGUGAGACAGUUCGGUCCCUAUCUGCCGUGGGCGCUGGAGAAUUGAGGGGGGCUGCUCCUAGUACGAGAGGACCGGAGUGGACGCAUCACUGGUGUUCGGGUUGUCAUGCCAAUGGCACUGCCCGGUAGCUAAAUGCGGAAGAGAUAAGUGCUGAAAGCAUCUAAGCACGAAACUUGCCCCGAGAUGAGUUCUCCCUGAGACUUUAAGUCUCCUGAAGGAACGUUAAAGACGAUGACGUUGAUAGGCCGGGUGUGUAAGCGCAGCGAUGCGUUGAGCUAACCGGUACUAAUGAACCGUGAGGCUUAACCUU